ACACGACUACGAGUUUUAUCAUGGCUCAGGAUGAACGCUAGCGGCAGGCUUAAUACCUCAUAGUAUAGCAGUUUCGCAUGAAACCACUAUUAAAGUUCCAACGGUGAAAGAUGAGCAUGCGUCCCAUUAGCUAGAUGGUAAGGUAACGGCUUACCAUGGCUACGAUGGGUAGGGGUCCUGAGAGGGAGAUCCCCCACACUGGUACUGAGACACGGACCAGACUCCUACGGGAGGCAGCAGUGAGGAAUAUUGGACAAUGGGCGCAAGCCUGAUCCAGCCAUGCCGCGUGCAGGAUGACGGUCCUAUGGAUUGUAAACUGCUUUUAUACAGGAAGAAACACUCCGACGUGUCGGAGCUUGACGGUACUGUAAGAAUAAGGAUCGGCUAACUCCGUG
rnacentral:rRNA from 1 species